GCCUGGGAGUGCGUGUGUGCGCGCGUGUGUGCGCGAGUGUGUGUGUGCGCGGGGUGCGCGCGCGGGCGGGAGUAGGCACGCGCGGGGAAAGGCCCGAAAACACCUUAGUUUGCACCGAGAGACCAUUUGGAGCGGAACCCGAAAGUUUGCAAGAGGAAGAGAGCGCGCGGCGAGCGAGCGGGAAAGGGGUAGCGGCCGCGGCUCCGGGGACCAUGGUGCUGCGGAAGCCUCCUCCGCGGGCGUGAAGGCGGCGCUUCCACUCCCUCCCCGGGCUUCGAGGGUCUCUGCAGACACCUGCUUCUUUGGCCCUGAGCUGCUGACCUUGAGUUCUGAGUAGACCUGUGGUGUCCUUCUCCUUGAGUGAAAUUACAUCUUACCUGGAGGCUAGGUUUGGAAGUCGGCAUGUCAGUGGCACCAGAAGCCAUAUGCAUCCAGGAGAAACCAUGCUUGGGUGUGAAUUGUGGGCGAAUGAGGUGAGGUGAGGCCUAGGCCUCUGCCAUGGUGUGGAACAGUGGCCAUGAGUCCCUCACAACGGCGAACAGGCGACAUUCUCUGGGCUGUGCUACAAAGCUGUGCGGCUCAGUAGCACCCCAGCUUCCCCGUCUCCAGGCUGUGCCUACCCUGAGUGGCCUCAGCAGAAACACCUCUGCCUGCCUUCCAGCAGCCACCCUGGUCUUAGCCUCUGGAGGGAAGGCAGAGGAUGAAGGGUGCCUGUUGUUCUUCUCGUCACACCUCUUGGCUUCCUGACAGUGGCAGGGAGGAGAAGAUGUGUGGUCUCACAGAGGAAAAGCAGUCUACUCCCGAACCUGUUGUCCUUCCAACUCUGGC
rnacentral:lncRNA from 1 species